AUGUGGGUGCUGGGAAUCGAACUCAGGACCUCUGGAAGAGCAGGCAAGUUCUCUUAAACACGGAGCCACCUCUCCGGUCCCGCAGAUGUACCUCUUGACCUUGGCAGCUUGGCAGGAUCUUUUAGGAUAGCCUAAGCAAGAGUGGUUUGAGUGGUACCUGUGAGAAGUGAGUCCACCGUUCUGGAUGGCAAGUAAGGGAAGAAUAGAUGAGAUUUUCUACCUCAGCUUGCAUGGAAAGAGAAAGAAUGUCUGGUGAGGAGAGAAGUCACCCUCCGAAGGUCCUGGUUAGCAAACUGAUUAGAAAGAACUUUCCAAUCCCCGAUGAACCUCCAGAUGACGGUAGCCGCUGGUGAAUACUGGCAAGGGGCCGGUCACUGUCUUCGGUUAGGUGUGUACAGUCACAGACAGUAAAUCACAAAGGUGCCCAGAAUUAGGCUGAAAGGGGUCACAAAGCUAAGCAAAAAAUACAUGAAUGUGGGAAACAUCACAGGUAAACAGAUAAGAGAGGGUGGGGGUGAGGGCAACCAGAGUGCUCUGAACGAAUGUGUGAAACUGUCAAAGAGGACACUUAAUUGGACCUGAGUCCAAUCAGACCUUUGCAUUUAUGAAAGGUCUAUUCUACAGAAAAGACAAGUCUACUGCAAUGUGCAAUCGAGACUUAGCCUGAUCCAGUCUGUAGACAGUUUGGCUAUUAAGAAUAGGAACGGGGGUUGGGGAUUUAGCUCAGUGGUAGAGCGCUUGCCUAGGAAGUGCAAGGCCCUGGGUUCGGUCCCCAGCUCCGAAAAAAAGAACCAAAAAAAAAAAAAAAAAAAGAAUAGGAACGGUCACGGUCCAUACUUUAGGAUAUAUGGGGCAGUGAGUAAGAAUAUGUGAGAGUGCCUACCACAGAGUGAGGGGUGGUGGUUAGCCAGAAAAUGGGAAGCUGGUGGCUGCAUACCAGAACACCUUGGGGCUUCUAGGAGGCUGGCUUAGUACCGGCCCCUUAGUCAAUGUGUUGGGUUGAGAUCAAUCCACUUCCAUUUCUUAUGCUGUGAAGCUCCUGGGGCAUGAUGAUGGCUCAGUUGCCAAAAUACUUACCUGGCAAGAAUGAGGUCCUGAGUUCAAUCCCCAGAACCCACAAUUAAACAGUCAGGCAUCGUAGUGAGCAUUAGUGACCCGGCCACCAGGGAAAUGGACACUGCUGAGUGCCUGUGGCCCCUUAGCUACCCAGCCCAGGCUGAUUAUUGAGUUUCAGGCCAAUGAAAGACCCUGCCUUACAACAGGGAAGUGAAGGGCACUUGAGAGAAGACGCCUGUGGUCCUUGUCAUCAUCCUACACAGGCAAGUGUGCACACAAACACUUCUGUGUUCCUGUUUCCAAACUGGUGAGUGUUCCUCUCCCACUCCCUCUCCUCCCCCUCUCCCUCCCUCCCCUUCCCCUCCCCCUUUCCCUCUUCCUUCCCCUUCCUUUCCCUCUCUCCCUCCCCAAAGUUCUUGCUCUGCACUCAUCAGAUGGGAGGACUCACCUCUCAUGCUAUGUGUCAGUAGACACACACACACACACACACACACACACACACACACACACUUUUCUGUGGGUGUGUGAAGGGCUUUUAUUUCUGGUCAGAGCGAACAUUGGUCAGGAGUUUCUGUGUUGAAAGUCACCAGCCUGAACACCUUCGCAGAGGGGAUAUAUCCAUUCCUGUGUCAACUUGCUUUUCCACGAGCUCCUGGGUAUUGGUUGCUAGGAGGAGGCCAAGACAAGGCGUGGGCCUCUGUGUAGUCAGAGGGGAAUUCCUGGGGGAAGCCAAAGGGACAGGAGGGGAUAGGGAUGUACCAGCAGUAAACCUGGUGCUUAUAUGGUCUUCCAGGAGAAAAGCAAGCUUCCAUAAGAAACAGACUCUCUGGCCUCAGGACUGAAGAAGCAGCAGGAGGUGUGCAUGCCAAGACUCCUUUGCUUGCAAAACAUGCAGGAUUAUAGAGAGCAGUUUUGACAUCACGGAACACUGAAAUUUAUAAAUGAGGUGAUUUGGUUGCCUGACAUCUACUGGAGACUAACCAUGUGUCCCAGAAAGACGAUGAACUUGAGGGAGGAGGAGUUGAGAUGGCAAGAGGGUGAAAGAGUUCCUGUUGACUUUGGGCAGUAACACUGAUAUUCCGGCCUCUCGACAGUGUAACUUGAGAAAUGCUGCUGAGCAGGGUGAGGAAGCCCAUGGAGCCUGUCUGGAGUGCCUCCAGUCCCCAUGUUCCCUUGGGCUGCAGCGGAAAUAUUCUAGGCAUGAGGUACCUGUGGACUCGAAUUCCACACUAGUGACAGUGAGCGACACAUAUGGAGCUGGGGGAAGAUAUCUCAGCAAUCAAGCAGUUGACGCCUCUGUAGUUCUCAGGACCUAAGUCCGGUGAACCACAACUCAGUUGUGGGGGAACCCAACUCUUCCUGUAGGCACCUGAACUCACGCCUGUGUGACUGCACACGUGCACAGCACCAAAGAAAAUGUUCCUUCUUCGUGGUCAUGAGACUAAGUAUUUGGAAUCAUAACAUUUAUGAUGUAGCACUGAACCAUGAUUUUGCGACACCUAGAGCAGCCAUGUGGGUCAACCCUCAGCAGACUAUGGCUUGAAGGAGUUGUCAGUCAUAACUGUCUACAGGCAACCAUGCAUGAGGCAUCUCUCUAUCAUGGGACACUGCUGCAUUGAUCUCCCACCAGAAAACUAAGAGAAACCACCAGCGGCUAAUGGCACUCCAGAGAUAGUUUAAGUUGCUUCUGCAAGACAUCUUGUCAUGUGGUGAUCUACUCAUCUAAGAGGAUGAGGAACUUUUGGAGCGCCGUGGUGACCUUGAAGGUGACAAUGACACCAUCCAUUCCUAGAACAUUGUGACAGCUGCCACCUGAACGGGUAAAAGUGGUACAUGGGGAUCUACCCCCCCCAGAUGGCAGGACGCUCACAGAAGGGUCAGAUGGUGCAGGCACAUGCUGGAAGAGUGACUGGGCAGGCAUGCUGUGUUCUACCUGGAAGACCUAAGAUGGUGCAGCCUGAGACUGUAUGUAACCCUUCUCCAUAUAUUUAGAGCAUAGGCAGAAUCUUCUGUGAUCGCUGUUGAGGUUCUGCUUCUCUUGCCUCUUGACCCAUUAAAACUUUGCUCUACUUGGACAGCAAGGACGCAGAGAGAAAUCCCACAGUGAACAUAGACCUGAGGCACACCCACUCCUAAGUCCACAGAAAACUCAAAGCAGCCCUAACUUCCCCCUAUCCAUCUGGGCCUGAAGGCACAGGCUGUGAGGGCUAAACAGGAGAGUAGAGGGAGAGUGGCAGAGACAGGGAGCCAGGAGCUCAGCAUUCCAUUGCCAAACUGCUCUCCUUGGAUAGGAAUGUAUUCCAACUGGGGCCUUCCCAGCACUGUCUAGACUGGCAGUUUCCAAUAUUAUAUAACUCGCAGCGGUGGAAUAUUUUUCCGUGAACUGCAGAGUUAGCCCUCAUAGGUCUCUGAUAAAAUAAUGUUUUGAAGUGGCAUGAAAACACUCAAAAAAUUUCAAAAAAUCGGAAGGCUGGCCACACCCAUACUUUUUGGUACUAACUCAUAGAUAAAUGAAAUCUCAGGACCGACAGUUAGGGUUUGAGAAGUGUGAGGGGGAAAAUGACCAGUUCGUCUCUUUGCUGGCAAGAUGAAGGUGUCUGUCCAGGAACAGUGACAGCCCCAGCUUGCUAAUGGCCUAAAGAUGACACGGGGCAGUUGCCCUGGUUGGAGCACACUGAGCUGACUGGUGCAUGAGAUAUUUCACAAUCAUGUUUUGUAAUGAAUGUGACAGACAGUGGUGCCUUUGGCUCAAAAGAGAGGACGAAAAAUAGAGAAGAAAGCAAAAUAGCAAAGAGACAGGAAGGCAGAGCAUUGUGGGAAUAAGGAAGGCCCACCCCAGCCCCCUCAGCAGGGCCGCAUUCAGAACUUCCAGCAGGAUUUGCCCCUGAUAAACCAGUAUCCAAGUCUGUCAUGAUCCUUCUGUCAACGCUGUUUUGCUGUAGGCUGUAGGCUGAGCCCUGCCACUCUCCCACCUCCAUACAGCUCUUCCUCAAGAGGCUGCACUAGCUGUGGGAAAGGGUGUACACCUGAGGUCUAGGCUGGACUUCCAGGGGGAUUCCCAGUCUCCCAUCCACUACGUGUAUCCUAAAACUGGGACAAGCACAGAGGUCUUUCUAGUUAAAAUACUCCACGAGAUGGUUGCUGCCCCUUUAAACACUGACUGCUUUGUGGAAGGAAUUUUCUGUGAGAUCCGAGGCUGCCAGCUACCCUGUUCAUUAGGGACUCUGUUUGGUCUACUGAUUUAUAACUCACGAUAAUGUUUCUCUAAGUCCUGACUGGCCAAUCCUCUGACCUUGGCGAAGACCCUCUCUGCUGCUGAAUGAGGCUGAGCUGCCUGUGACCAUGAGCGGAGCCCCUGCCAUCUGUCCCUGUGUCAUGAGCAUGUGUCCGAGCAUCAUGAUGGGUGCAUGGGGACUUGAGAGCAGAGUGCAGUCCUGGCAAGCGUCCCCUAUCAGUCAACCCCUCCUGGGGUCUCCGAGACUGCAGAGCUGGAACAAGGUGUCCCACAAGGAAAUUGAAGAAUGCAGUGCCCAGAUCACAGGUUGCUGCCGUGUUACUCUUUCCUAUGCAGAAUGAUCAGUCUCCAAUACCCAGAAGCAGAAGGCCGAUCAGUCGGUAAAGUGCUUGCUGCACAGGCCCAAGGACCUGACUUCUGACGAAGAGCGCCCAUGUAAAAACCAAGCCUGGUGCUGAGUUUCUAAGCCCAGCACUGUGGGGUGGAGAUAGGUGGGUCCCUGGAACUCACUGGCAAGCCAGCAGCUAGUCUAACUGAUGAGCUUCAGGUUUAGUGAAGAGAACUUGUCUCAAAAGAAAAAAAAAACAAACAGGCAAACAACACAAAACAAAAAACAAAGCAGCAAAACAAAAGCAAGCAAACAAAGAAGCAGAGAGCAGGGAGGAGGGCAUCCAGUGUUAAGCUCUGGCCCCUACACAUAUGCACAUGGGUUUGCACAAAUGAAUACACGUGCAUAUACCACAACAUACAUAAAAAACAAAAAGCCAAGAUAAUAUUAAUAACAGAUUGAGUAUUUGGGACAAAUGACCUCAGAUGACGGCCAGGGUACAGGGAGAAGUGGGAAGGCCACAGUACUCAAGCCAUCGCAUCUCUUAUGGCUA
rnacentral:sRNA from 1 species